GUCCGGUUUGAGGUGAGACUCACGGGCUGGAGUGUUGACGGAAAUCUCUAUGGGAAGCACACUUGGAUUAUUUGAUCAGUUCGCCAGUAGCGGGGAAGCAAAAUGGCUCCGCCAGACAGGUCCAAAUAAUGACACCUCAAAAGAUACGGAUCUCAUACACAGAGAAUAUAUCAACUGUUGUCGAGAUUAUGUCAAAGAGAUCGAAUUAAGGUAUGAUGCAGAAACUAUGAAUGGUUACCUCGGAGGAGGAAGAGGAGAGCGGUGGUUGCUCCCAACGUUGUGGUCGGUAUAGGUGGAUGGAUGCUGGAUGCGGUGAUCCAGGCACACCGCAUGCGUGACACAGUCAACGCACAUUGGCAUCGUCAGCAGCGGCGCUCUUCCUCACCUCAUGCCUCCCUCCUAGCAUUCUGCCUUACUCUGCCAUCUCCACAGAGAGCAUAUAUGGGGAUAUGGGAUUCCUCACCACGGACGGAGUAUGCUGCACAGGUGUACCCGACAGAGCUCCUUGUCGGAGAGCCUGUGCGGUGGCAGCGCCCAAAUCCUUCCGCUGCGGGUGUCGAGCUCGAGGAGGCCGAGGGCGGAAGCACCCGGUGCCUGCGUCAAGCUCCAGGAGGCCCUGAGCGGCGCCGGCGUGCUGGGACGGUGCGAACUGGGAGGUCCCAGGCUGGAAAUGUUCAAAAAUAUGGGGGAAGGGGUGAUCUGAACUCUGGGCAUGCAAGUUGCAGUGAAGACCGUCCAGGCACGCCAUCUCGCAAGGGGAGACCAUCGAUGACCAGCCAUGGAGAGCUCGGCCCAUGACUGUCUGGGAACUCGAGCGGCUGGGGAGAAAAUAGCUAAAAGAUUAGAGGGUAUUCCUCUACCAGGGCCGGAUUUGGGGGAGGGAAGGCUGGAUUUGAGUGUGGACUUGACCGAUUUGGAGAAAAUAGUCCUUUGCAAUGGAAGAACAACAGAGAAGGCAUCGGAUGGAGGGGAAAGGUGAGCUAAGGGAGAGAAAGAGAGUGAUGUGGGACAAGGGAAAUGAUAGGGGCAGGACCGCUCAGGUGUUCUCUCCGUUGGACAGGAUUCGUACCUAUAGGCCUAUUGGGGUUUGAAAAAAGGGUUAGAGGUAAACACGAUCCGGAAAAGGACCUUGCACACAUUUUCAGCAAUGUUCGUCCUUGACCACCUUCGCAACCGAAGCAACGUCGGAGUUAGGGGUGAUUCGCUCCGGGGUCGAAAUAGUGAAGUCUCAAUUGCUACAAUUGAGUUGAAUUCUAUUAUACAAAGUUUGUUUGUUUGCCAGCAUACUUUCAAUUUUUAGGCUUUACAAAAAUGUCAAAAUAAUUAUGUGGACUAUAUAAGGAAUUUUUUGCAGUGUACUUAUUUUAUUUUCACUUUUGAAAUUAAUUUGUAAAUCAUGUUUGAAUAAAAUGUACCCAAUGAUGUUU